rnacentral:rRNA from 1 species
UGACGGAGUGACGCCGCGUGGGGGACGAAGGCCUUCGGUCGUAAACCCCUGUCAGAGGGAAAGAAGGGUGUCGGCGCGAUAACCGCCGGCAUCUGACGGUACCUUCAGAGGAAGCCCCGGCCAACUCUGUGCCAGCAGCCGCGGUAAGACAGAGGGGGCAAGCGUUGCUCGGAAUCACUGGGCGUAAAGGGCGCGUAGGCGGGAUGGCAAGUCAGUCGUGAAAUCUCUCGGCUCAACCGAGAAACGUCGGCUGAUACUGCCGUUCUUGAGGGAUGCAGAGGAGACUGGAAUUCCCGGUGUAGCGGUGAAAUGUGUAGAGAUCGGGAGGAACACCGGUGGCGAAGGCGGGUCUCUGGGCAUUUCCUGACGCUGAGGCGCGAAAGCGUGGGGAGCAAACGGGAUUAGAUACCCCGGUAGUCCACGCUGUAAACGAUGACGACUAGGUGUGGGGUGGGUUAGUCCAUUCCGUGCCGCAGCUAACGCAUUAAGUCGUCCGCCUGGGGAGUACGGCCGCAAGGUUG